rnacentral:rRNA from 1 species
ACGCUCGACACCUACGGGAGCAGCAGUGGGGAAUAUUGCACAAUGGGGGAAACCCUGAUGCAGCAACGCCGCGUGAAGGAAGACGGUUUUCGGAUUGUAAACUUCUGUUCUUAGUGAAGAUAGUGACGGUAGCUAAGGAGCAAGCCACGGCUAACUACGUGCCAGCAGCCGACGGUAAUCUGAGCGGGCUGGCAAGGC